UACGGGGGGGGGCAAGCGUUGUUCGGAAUUACUGGGCGUAAAGGGCUCGUAGUUGGCCAACUAAGUCAGACGUGAAAUCCCUCGGCUUAACCGGGGAACUGCAUCUGAUACUGGAUGGCUUGAGUUUGGGAGAGGGAUGCGGAAUUCCAGGUGUAGCGGUGAAAUGCGUAGAUAUCUGGAGGAACACCGGUGGCGAAGGCGGCAUCCUGGACCAACACUGACACUGAGGAGCGAAAGCGUGGGGAGCGAACAGG
rnacentral:rRNA from 1 species